CAGAAGUGUUCCUAUUCUGAUCAUCAGCAGAUCUAAAGGGCAGCUCCACCAAAACCAAAAUAAUAUUCUACUCAAAAUAUUACAAAAAUGUGGAUAGUAUGUGCAAAGCCAAGAGUGAAUGUGCCUUCAGCCCUGACCAAAGACACAUGUGAGCACAACACAACACGUUAGCACCAGCCCACCAGCCUCAGCUUGUCCUUAUUAGAGAGUUACAGCCAAGGAGCCAAAGAAUCCUAACUGAAUCUUAUUAAUAAUAAUGGGCUUCAAAUGAGAUGGACAAGAGCAGCCAUAUGUCAAAGAUGGACGUUAUAACAGGAAGGUUUCUUGCAGAAGAUACCAUAAUUGACAGCACAGUAAUUGGAACAGAGCAAUGGCUUAUUGAUAGGACAGCUUCUGGAUCCAGCUCCAAAGGAGUUCUGUGACAGCAGUUUGGCACUGAAUCUUCUGAAAGACAAUGAACUCACUGCUGGGGGUAUUCCUACCUUGAUGCAGUCUUGUGCCAAGCAAGGAGAGACACCGAGAAGACCUCAAUGUGGACCUCUACUGUGUGAUGGGGACUGUUUCACCCUGCCCUUGCCCUAUGGGACAGAUCUCCCAUAACAGCUCUUUGGUGUGCUCUGAUCUCUGGAGAGAAGGUUGGUCUUCACCACCCAACUUCACCCAGGCAACAUGGGGACGGAACGGGCCUAAUCUCUUCACCACAGUACUCAGUUAUUACUGGAACUGGAAACAACAGGAUUUAUUGCUCUUUGAGGGUGAUAGAAGACCCCAAGCACCAACGCAGCCAGAGGGGUAGAAAAAGGCCCAUCUUCCCCCCGGACCUGCCCUGGAAAAUGAUUGUUUUCUCUUGGUGGCAGUAGGGUGUUACAUCUCAGACAUUCUUUAAUCUAUUUAAGCUGAGCAGCAAAGGAAACAGAAAGCGAUGAGGAAAGACUGAAGAGGAUCUUGGUGGGUGAGGGAAGGUGAUGUGGUCACCUCUGCACCAAGGAAGUGGAGGGGAAGGAUUGCCAGAACACAGCAGUCUCCGAGAGCUCCAUGCCUCAGCCCAUAUAAGCCACAGGUUUGCAGAGGAGGGACAGGGCGCAGAGAUGUGACAUCAGCAGAUGAGGAGAGUUUCUCCCAGAGCCCAGCACCAUAGGGACUGGCUGGCAGCAGCUCAGUGCUGGGAGGGGAGCACUUGCCCUCCAUUGUCCUGUCCCCACAGUGUACUCUGAAAGCCUUCUGAUGCCUCAACAGUGUUCAUUUCCAGUAAUACUUCCCAAUUACCAACUAUCACGUUUUUGUAAUGCAAGCAAAUUUGCAUAAUGCUGAAGGCAAAUUAAUAUGAAAAUCGAAAUACAAAUUUUGACAUUUCCUCCACCAAAAAAAAAAAAAGAAGAGAAAUACUCUUCCACUUUCAUCCUUGAUGGUAAUGGUGAGGGAUGCUUAGUGAGGAACAUGCUCUGGCUUCAUUGGCACUGCUCAUACCUUGGAUGAGUGAUGAGGAAAUUCCUGCAUGUGCAGUCCUGCCAGCAGCAAAAGCCAAGCCCCUGCUGAAGCCUCCGGCACUAUGGGGCAUUUCACAAGUUAUGACUUUGCAGAUCAGGGCUUUCUAGAUGGAGAGUGAAUCAUGGCUUGCCAGUGUAAAAUUAGAGGAGACCAAUUUUAAAUAAAACCUUAUAGGCUCACA
ensembl:lncRNA